rnacentral:rRNA from 1 species
UACGUAGGUGGCAAGCGUUGUCCGGAUUUACUGGGCGUAAAGGAUGCGUAGGCGGACAUUUAAGUCAGAUGUGAAAAUACCCCGAGCUUAACUUGGGUGCUGCAUUUUGAAACUGGGUGUCUAGAGUGCAGGAGAGGUAAGUGGAAUUCCUAGUGUAGCGGUGAAAUGCGUAGAGAUUAGGAAGAACACCAGUGGCGAAGGCGACUUACUGGACUGUAACUGACGCUGAGGCAUGAAAGCGUGGGGAGCAAACAGG